rfam:Facklamia hominis CCTG 36813 genomic scaffold supercont1.1, whole genome shotgun sequence.
AGGGGCAUGGUCUAAAGGCUAAGACGGUGGUCUCCAAAACCACAAAUCAGGGUUCGAUUCCUUGUGCCCCUG